AGCGAACGCUGGCGGCAGGCUUAACACAUGCAAGUCGAACGGGCAUCUUCGGAUGUCAGUGGCAGACGGGUGAGUAACACGUGGGAACGUACCCUUCGGUUCGGAAUAACUCAGGGAAACUUGAGCUAAUACCGGAUACGCCCUUUUGGGGAAAGGUUUACUGCCGAAGGAUCGGCCCGCGUCUGAUUAGCUUGUUGGUGGGGUAACGGCCUACCAAGGCGACGAUCAGUAGCUGGUCUGAGAGGAUGAUCAGCCACACUGGGACUGAGACACGGCCCAGACUCAUACGGGAGGCAGCAGUGACGAAUAUUGGAAACGAGGCGCAAGCCUGAUACAGCCAUGCCGCGUGAGUGAUGAAGGCCUUAGGGUUGUAAAGCUCUUUUGUCCGGGACGAUAAUGACGGUACCGGAAGAAUAAGCCCCGGCUAACUUCGUG
rnacentral:rRNA from 1 species